rnacentral:rRNA from 1 species
AAACUUUCAACAAUGGAUCUCUUGGUUCCGGGAUCGAUGAAGAACGCAGCGAAAUGCGAUAACUAAUGUGAAUUGCAGAAUUCCGUGAAUCAUCGAGUCUUUGAACGCACAUUGCGCCCCCUGGUAUUCCGGGGGGCAUGCCUGUCCGAGCGUCAUUGC